rnacentral:rRNA from 1 species
GAUGAACGCUGGCGGCGUGCCUAAUACAUGCAAGUCGAGCGAACAGACGAGGAGCUUGCUCCUCUGACGUUAGCGGCGGACGGGUGAGUAACACGUGGAUAACCUACCUAUAAGACUGGGAUAACUUCGGGAAACCGGAGCUAAUACCGGAUAAUAUAUUGAACCGCAUGGUUCAAUAGUGAGAGACGGUUUUGCUGUCACUUAUAGAUGGAUCCGCGCCGCAUUAGCUAGUUGGUAAGGUAACGGCUUACCAAGGCAACGAUGCGUAGCCGACCUGAGAGGGUGGUCGGCCACACUGGAACUGAGACACGGUCCAGACUCCUACGGGAGGCAGCAGUAGGGAAUCUUCCGCAAUGGGCGAAAGCCUGACGGAGCAACGCCGCGUGAGUGAUGAAGGUCUUCGGAUCGUAAAACUCUGUUAUUAGGGAAGAACAAAUGUGUAAGUAACUAUGCACGUCUUGACGGUACCUAAUCAGAAAGCCACGGCUAACUACGUG